rnacentral:rRNA from 1 species
GUCCUAGCCGUAAACGAUGGACACUGGGUGUUGGCUCCAUCAUGGAGUCAGUGCCGAAGGAAACCCGUUAAGUGUCCCACCUGAGGAGUACGGCCGCAAGGUUGAAACUCAAAGGAAUUGACGGGGGCCAGCACAAGCGGUGGAACAUGUGGUUCAAUUCGAUGCUACGCGAAGAACCUUACCCAGGCUUGACAUGCUUGUAGUAGGAACCUGAAAGGGUGACGACUCGUAACCAGUCGAGAGCUUGCACAGGUGCUGCAUGGCUGUCGU